rnacentral:rRNA from 1 species
UACGGGGGGGGCAAGCGUUGUCCGGAAUCAUUGGGCGUAAAGGGUGCGUAGACGGAAUGGUAAGUCAGGAGUGAAAGACUCGCGCUUAACGCGGGUUCUGCUUUUGAUACUGUCAUUCUUGAGUGCGGAAGAGGGAAGCGGAAUUCCCGGUGUAGCGGUGAAAUGCGUAGAUAUCGGGAAGAACACCGGUAGCGAAAGCGGCUUCCUAGUCCGUAACUGACGCUGAGGCACGAAAGCGUGGGUAGCAAACAGG